rnacentral:rRNA from 1 species
GACGAACGCUGGCGGCGUGCCUAAUACAUGCAAGUAGAACGCAGUUGCGAACGGGUGAGUAACGCGUAGGUAACUGCCUCAUAGCGGGGGAUAACUAUUGGAAACGAUAGCUAAUACCGCAUACUGUGAGAUGGACCUGCGUUGUAUUAGCUAGUUGGUGAGGUAAAGGCUCACCAAGGCGAAGAUACAUAGCCGACCUGAGAGGGUGGUCGGCCAAAAUGGGGCUGGGACCAGGCCCAGAAUCCGUAGGGAGGCAGGAGGAGGGAAACUUUGGAAAUUGACGGAAGUCUGAACGAGGAACGCCGGGUUAGAGAAGAAGGGUUUCGGAGCGUAAAGCUCUGUUGUGAGAGAAGCGGUAACUAAACAGAAAGGGACGGCUAACUACGUGCCAGCAGCCGCGGUAAUAC